rnacentral:rRNA from 1 species
UACGUAGGGUGCAGGCGUUACUCGGAAUUACUGGGCGUAAAGCGUGCGCAGGCGGUCUUUCAAGUCAGAUGUGAAAUCCCCGGGCUUAACCUGGGAACUGCGUUUGAAACUGAAAGGCUAGAGUGUGGCAGAGGGGGGUGGAAUUCCACGUGUAGCAGUGAAAUGCGUAGAGAUGUGGAGGAACACCGAUGGCGAAGGCAGCCCCCUGGGCUAACACUGACGCUCAUGCACGAAAGCGUGGGGAGCAAACAGG